GGCUGCCUGUGAUAAACUAUUUCCACAGGCGGUUGGCUUAAGUCAACCGCCUGUGGAAACAGUUUAUCACAGGCGGUU
rnacentral:pre_miRNA from 12 species